rnacentral:rRNA from 1 species
UACGUAGGGUGCGAGCGUUAAUCGGAAUUACUGGGCGUAAAGGGCGCGUAGGCGGUCACGCACGUCCGUUGUGAAAUCGCUCAGCUCAACUGGGCGGGGUCAGCGGAUACGGUGUGGCUGGAGCAAGCUAGGGGGCAAUGGAAUUCCCGGUGUAGUGGUGGAAUGCGUAGAUAUCGGGAGGAACACCAGUGGCGAAGGCGGUUGCCUGGAGCUUUGCUGGACU